ensembl:lncRNA
ACUACAUUAGACUAAUAUCACUAAGUCCUUAAAUACUCCCAAGCGUUCUUGUUUCCUCCUGGCUUGUGUCCUGUUCCAUCAGAAUGAAGCAGGCUUGUGCACUGUGCUGCAGCUCUGAUGAGGAAAUGGGCCAUUUGGUGGCAUUUCAGCCCAUUUGCUACACACAGAUGGGCAGAUGGAGUGCUGGCUGUGCACAUCGGCUUCACCCAAACCAGUCUGUGGUCACUCAUGCCAGGGACCUGCUGCAGGCCUUCUCACCUUUGGGGAGCUUAUGGUGUCCUUUGAAUCUUCGAACAUUCUUCAGGACUGAUAUUUAUGCCUGCUGGAGCCUGAGGAGCUGUUGGGUUGUUUAACAUCCCUACCCUUGGCUGGGUCAUGCUGCACAAUCGCUCAGGUUCCCUCUGUAAAACCUUCAGAUUGUUCUGCCAAACAAAUACAGUCUUUGGGAGGAAGAGAAGAAAGAGGAGGAAGCAAGUUGGGGCUGAGGGAAGCUCCUUACCAGAGCUGGGCACAAAGGGGAGCUCUGCAGAGUGGAGUGGCUGGUGUUGGAUGCAGUGACAGACAAAUGAUGGCUUUUAAAGACAUCUUCUACUCGGUGGUGGCCACUGCAGACUGCAAACUAAAAUGGGCACCUGCCCUUGGAAUGGCUGAGGAAAGGUAAAAACAACCCUCUGGAAAUGGUGCAGUGAGCCUCUUUGGCAUCUCCAAGUAUGUGAGCUAUUUCAGAUGAGAAUGACACAGGACACCAGAGCAAUCUGUUGGGGUUUGUGAUGGAGGCAUUUGGAAAAUGCUCACCUUCAGCUGCCCCAAGGUGCUGACUGAGGUUGGGAGAGCAGAGAGCAGAGCUGUCAGCUUCCUUGUAUACAAAGGUGAGGGAAAUGCUGCCAGCCUCCAGCAUCUGUCCUUGCUUGUGCACCUCAGUUCUCAAGUCUGAUGGCUGCCUCAUGGCCUCUGUUCUGCACAAGGAUGAUGUUCUCUAAGACUCGUUAUGACUAUGUUGUGACAGGACAAAGAGAAAUGGUUUCAAACUAAAAGAGGUGCGAUUUAGACUGGAUAUGAGAAACAAGUUUUUUACAAUAAAGAUAGUGACACACCGGAACAGGUUGCCCAGAGAGGUGGUGAAAGAGCCGUCCUUGGAGACAUUCAAGGUCAGGCUGGAUGGAGUUCUGAGCACCUGAUCUAGCUGUGGGUGUCCCUGUUUGUCACAGGGGAGUCAGACCAGAUGGCCUUUGAGGCUCUCUUCCAACGCAAAUGAUUCCAUGAUUCGACAAUUCUGUGUUCUCCAAGACCUGCCAUUAAUGGAGGGAUCCUAUGUUGGUCUCACUAAGUUACCUCUUCCCACAUAGUCCCUCCCUCCAUGGGGACACUUGUC